CCCCAAUGGUUCACUACGAAAUCAAGGUACAUAUGUUAUGCUUUCUUUGUUUCAUAGUGAUUAGAGAGGAUAAACAUUGUAAAAAAAAAAGUUGUCAUAGUUAAUGUAAGCUAAAACUAAAAAACUUGCUUUUUCAAUUGUGUAAGCAUGUUUUGUUCUUGAUGAAUAUUUACAACAUUCAGAGUUACUAAUGUUUAUAAUUCACAGAGACCUCAUUAACAACAAGUAACAACUAAUUGUAAGUAACCAUGAAAAAAAAAUAAGGAGAAAAAUAAAGGAAAAUCAAGGAAAGUGUCAAAUUUUUUCAUCCCCAUAAAAAAUGCUAAGGAAGAAAAAUGUGAAGAAAGUUUAAAGAAAGUAUAUUUUUCAAAAAUUGAAUUUUCUUUCCCUUAAAGUUGGUAUGGACAACCAAACAAGAAAAUGAUUUUUAAAUUCUUUUUUGACCUUUUUCUAUCAUUCUUUUUUUUUUCCCCCUACUCUAUUUCCUUUCCCUCAAACUUUCUAGGUAGUAAACAUUACCUAAGAUAAAUAGGGAAGAAAAUAUUUUAUCAUUUAUUUAUUUAGUAUUUUUCUUACCUUUUUUUGUAUUUUAUCCAAAUAUAAGAAAACUACUUUUCUUUAUUUUUUCUUUUCCUUGUUGCUUUUCAAGAAUCAAGCAUACUUUAAACUCUAAUUAAGAGUUACAUAGAUUUACAGAGAAACAAUGCAACUAGUAACAAAAAAUUAAGGAAAUUUAAUUUUUUAAUUUUUGAGAGUAAGUAUAAUAAGAUUGGUUUGUUUGAUACAAAAUUUGAAUAAAAAUUAUUUUAAUGAAAAUUCAAGGAAAGGAAAAAAAAAAAAAAAAACUUGAUCUCUAGACUAUAAUACUAAAUCAAUUAAAAAAUCUCCUAACAUCGUUUAUGUUCAUCUUUUUUUUUUUAUGGAUUUGAAAAACCCAAUAAUUUGGAGAAAACUGAUUCAAGGAAGAAUAAUUUUUAGAAUAAAAUAUUAUUAUUUAAGAAGAUCAUAAAUUUUAUAGUCAUUGUUGAAAAUGAUAAAUGAUUAAAAAAAAAAAGGUAGUUGGAAAUUUAGAUACUUUUAUAAGACAAAUGCAUUUUUCUAGUCUGGUAUGAAAAAAGGUAAAAUGAUAGGCUUUGAUCAUUUUUCAAGUUAGUUUGUUUAAAUCAUUUUAAUUUAUUUUGAUUUAAGAACAAUAACUUUUAUUACACUAGUUAUUUUGAUUUUCUUUUGAUAGAUUUUGCAAGCUUAAGCAAUUUGGAGCUAUUGGAUUUGAGUUAUAAUUUAUUUAGUGGGAGCAUUCCAUCAUCUAUAAGAUUGAUGUCUUCUAUCAAGUCUUUAUCCUUGGCUGAAAAUUACCUCAAUGGUUUCUUAGCAAAUCAAGGUACAUAUAUUGUGAUUACAGGUUUUUCUAUUUUCUUUUUUAAUAUCUUGUUUGUUCUUUAUGCCAAUUAAGUCAUGCAUGUCUAUUAAUUUUUGGUAUUUAAUGAAAAACUUUAUUCUUAAUUCAUAAAGACCUCAUCAACUAUAAGUAACAGUUAGUUCUAAGUUUGGGGGCAUUGACAAGACGAGGAGAUGAUUGGUUACAUGUCUUAUUCUCUUUUGUUGGCUUUUGCCAAUUGAAUAAGUUUCAAGAAUUAGAUUUUUCUUACAACUUAUUCCAAGGAAUCCUUCCUCCAUGUUUGAAUAAUUUGACAUCUUUGAGGUUAUUGGAUCUCUCUUCCAACCUAUUCUCCGGAAAUCUUUCUUCCCCUCUGUUACCUAAUCUCACAUCCCUGGAGUACAUCGAUCUCAGUUACAAUCAUUUUGAGGGUUCAUUCUCUUUCAGCUCUUUUGCUAAUCACUCCAACUUUCAAGUGGUCAAACUUGGAAGGAAUAACAACAAAUUUGAGGUAGAAACUGAAUAUCCAGUUGAUUGGGUUCCCCUAUUUCAGUUGAAAGCUCUUAUGCUAUCCAACUGUAAGCUCAUCGAUGACCUUCCUGGUUUUCUUCGACACCAAUUAAGAUUAACCGUGGUUGAUCUCUCCCAUAAUAACUUGACUGGAAGUUUCCCCAUUCAGCAGCUUGAAAACAAUACAAGACUAGGAUCUCUAGUUUUGAGGAAUAACUCUUUAAUGGGUCAACUACUUCCCCUGAGACCUAAUAGUCGUAUCACUUUAUUGGAUAUCUCAGACAACCGACUUCAUGGGGAACUUCAACAAAAUGUGGCCAAUAUGAUUCCAAAUAUUGAGUUUCUAAAUUUAUCCAACAAUCUUCCCCUUCAUUUCAUCCAUAUUUGGAUCUACCUUUAAAUCUCUAUUGCAUACAACCCAUAUAUGAUUCCCUCUAAAUUUAGCCUUCAUUUCUUGUUAAGAGGUUUUAAAAGCCAGCAAUUUAAUUUACUUUCAUCCUCUAUAUAGAUGAGAACUCUUAUAUUUAUCCAAUGAUAGGUAACAUUUUUGCAAAUGCUUUUAUUUGAUUUUUUUAAUUGGUCUUAAAAAUAAGUGUUAAUAAAGAUCCACAAUAUAAAAUAAUAAAUUAUAUCUCAAUUGACCUCAAGAUACUAUUUACUUCUACUAACUCAUUUUACAUCUCAAUUGUUCUUAAAAAGUCUAUAAUGGUAAUUAACUAUAGAAUUCAAGUUUUAAUUAUGCAAAAAAUAUAUAAAGGUUUUUAAAAUUAAUAGAAAAAAAGAUUCUAAUAAAUAAUAAGUAGAUUGAAACAUUUAUUUCUAGAAGUAGAGAAAGAUGGAGGAUCAUAAAAGUUGAAAAAAGAAUAAUUUGGAAGUCAUAAAAUUUUGGAAAAAGAAUAAUUCAUAGAGACCUCAUUAACAACAAGUAACAACUAAUUGUAAGUAACCAUGAAAAAA
rnacentral:lncRNA from 1 species